rnacentral:rRNA from 1 species
AGUGAACGCUGGCGGUAGGCCUAACACAUGCAAGUCGAACGGCAGCACAGUAAGAGCUUGCCCUUACGGGUGGCGAGUGGCGGACGGGUGAGGAAUACAUCGGAAUCUACUUUUUCGUGGGGGAUAACGUAGGGAAACUUACGCUAAUACCGCAUACGACCUACGGGUGAAAGCAGGGGAUCUUCGGACCUUGCGCGAUUGAAUGAGCCGAUGUCGGAUUAGCUAGUUGGCGGGGUAAAGGCCCACCAAGGCGACGAUCCGUAGCUGGUCUGAGAGGAUGGUCAGCCACACUGGAACUGAGACACGGUCCAGACUCCUACGGGAGGCAGCAGUGGGGAAUAUUGGACAAUGGGCGCAAGCCUGAUCCAGCCAUACCGCGUGGGUGAAGAAGGCCUUCGGGUUGUAAAGCCCUUUUGUUGGGAAAGAAAAGCAGCAGGUUAAUACCCCGCUGUUCUGACGGUACCCAAAGAAUAAGCACCGGCUAACUUCGUG